UGGGUCGGCUGGACGGUCGCGUCGCGGGCAACCGCGCCGAGGAACGUCCGGGCUCCGUAGGGCAGGGCGGUGGGUAACACCCACCCGGAGCAAUCCGCGAGACAGUGCCACAGAGAGCAGACCGCCCGGGCUUCGGCCCGGGUAAGGGUGAAAGGGUGGUGUAAGAGACCACCGGGGUCGUGGUGACACGACCCGCAAGGUAAACCUCGUCCGGAGCAAGGCCAGACAGGGGAUGAUGACGCGGCUCGCCGAGUCCCCGGGUAGGCCGCUGGAGCGGCACGGCAACGUGUCGCCGAGAGAGAUGACCGUCCACGGGGCGAAAGCCCCCGGACAGAACCCGGCGUACAGGCCGGCCCAUUCG
rnacentral:RNase_P_RNA from 1 species